CACCAAGGCGACGAUGGGUAGCCGGCCUGAGAGGGUGAACGGCCACACUGGAACUGAGACACGGUCCAGACUCCUACGGGAGGCAGCAGUGGGGAAUAUUGUGCACUGAAGGAAACCCUGACACAGAAACGCCGCGUGAGCGAAGAAGGCCUUCGGGUUGUAAAGCUCAAUAGUAUGGGAAGAUAAUGACGGUACCAUACGUUAGCCAAGGCAAAAUACGUGCCAGCUGCCGCGGUAAUACGUAGGGGGCGAGCGUUGUCCGGAAUUACUGGGCGUAAAGAGCACGUAUUCGGCUAUAUAAGU
rnacentral:rRNA from 1 species